CUGCCCGGCAUCAGUUUGAAUUCAAAGCGGUAACAUUGCGAUUCAUUGAACGAAAUAUAACUGUCAUAUACUGUGCUGUGCGACUCUCAGUGAAAUACGCGUAUUAUAAUAAUUAUUAUUGAUUAUUUGAUUCACCAGCGACUUUUUAAAUUUUAACACAAAGUGAUUUAAAUUGUAAUUGUUUUAUUCUUACAAUUCGUUUUCGUAUUAAUUGUGCGUGUGACCAGUUUACAACUUUAUUGCCGAAAUGGUUGGAAGAACAGCAAUUGGUAUCGACCUGGGCACCACCUAUUCUUGUGUGGGUAUCUGGCAACACGGAAAAGUGGAGGUCAUCGCAAACGACCAAGGAAACAGGACCACCCCGAGUUAUGUGGCGUUCACCGACACCGAACGGUUGAUCGGCGACGCGGCCAAGAACCAGGUGGCAAUGAACCCAGUCAAUACGGUGUUCGACGCCAAACGGUUGAUCGGUCGUCGAUUCGACGACGACAAGACGCAAGCGGACAUUAAACACUGGCCGUUCAAAGUGGUCGACGAUUUCGGGAAGCCCAAGAUCCAAGUGGAAUUCAAGGGCGAACGGAAGGUAUUCGCGCCGGAAGAAAUCAGUUCAAUGGUGCUGACGAAAAUGAAGGAGACCGCGGAAGCGUACUUGGGCCGUGCAGUGACGGACGCCGUAAUCACGGUGCCGGCGUACUUCAACGAUUCGCAGAGACAAGCGACCAAGGACGCGGGCGCCAUAGCUGGUCUGAACGUGAUGCGAAUAAUCAACGAACCGACAGCUGCGGCUUUGGCGUACGGUCUGGACAAGAACCUGAAAGUGAGAGAAACGUAUUGAUUUUCGACCUCGUGGUGCACGUUCGAUGUGUCCGUUCUGCAGAUCGACGAGGGUUCGAUAUUCGAAGUGAAGUCGACGGCGGGUGACACGCACUUGGGCGGCGAAGACUUCGACAACCGGCUGGUGUCUCAUUUGAUCGAUCGUAUGCUUAGCGAGGCCGAACGGUACAAAGAAGAGGACGAGCGACAAAAAGUUAAGAUCGCGGCCAAGAAUCAGUUGGAGAGUUACGUGUAUGGUGUCAAACAAGCGUUGGACGAAGCCGGCGACAAGCUGACCGAGUCCGAAAGGAACACCGGGAAACGGGAAUGCGACGCGGUCAUUCAGUGGUUGGACAACAAUCAGUUGGCAGACAAAGAAGAGUACGAGUACAAACUAAAGGAAAUCCAAAAGAGCUGCUCGGCUCUAAUGAUGAAGAUACACGGUGCAGGACAAGCCGGUGAUGCGUCUCAUCCCGGUGCUCGUGGUUUUCCUGGGCCGGGCUCCGGAGGACCUACCGUCGAAGAAGUCGAUUGAUUCAUUUAAUAAUGCAGUUUUAUUAUAUAUUUUGUAAAUAAGUAAGCUAUUGUGAAUUUCAUCCUAUAUUCUAAUUGUAAAUAAUAUUAUAUAGGUAGAUUUAAGUUGAGACUGAUUUUUCUUUUGUAAUAUUACCUACAUUUUUGCAAAAUAAAUAUUAUUUAUUGGCUGUCA